AAUAUUUACCACAUCGACCACAUACUAAGUACUACAACUUGAAAUUUUCUUUAUAAGUUUCAGUAAAUGCAUGUUCAUUCAAUAGCAACACACCAAGUCAAUCAGAGUGAAACUAAAUAUCUCCGCAUCAUUACAACCCACUGAACCAUUUGAAUAAUAAAAUAUAUAUUUUUAUUUUUACACGCUUAUUUUGUGAUCAAGUAACGAAGGUCAACUGCUGGUUUUUUGUAAACAAGCAUUUUUAAAAACAAAGUCAUACAAAGAUAAAUAGCAAACAGAUAAUAGCUAAACUGCGCAAAAAAUGUUAACAAAAUUCUUGAAAAAUAUUAAUCAGCGAACAAAACCAAAAGGAACAAAAGCUCUCGAACGAAAAAGAGAUGAAAAUAAAAUCACAAAGCAAACAACUUCAAAAUGCCAAUGCAAUCCCAAACAAUGUAAUUGUAAAAAGCAUAAAAUGGUUGUUCAUCGCCUCAAAGAGCGGAUGAACUUAGUACCCGACAUAAUCUAUUAAAUUUAAACUUAAAAAAUAAUUUAAUUUUAAUAAAAAAUAAGUCAAAAUGGUA